rnacentral:misc_RNA from 1 species
AAAGUCGUAACAAGGUUUCCGUAGGUGAACCUGCGGAAGGAUCAUUACCAUUUGCUCACGGGUGCAGUCUUGGGAAACCUGGCGGCCCCGAGCUUACCAUCCCUGCUUAUCCACACCUCAUGUUACCUUCGGCAGGGCAACCUGCCGCUGGACAACUCCAAACCCACUGUAUCCAGUAUCCACCUUCCGAGCAUUUGAAUUAUCACAACUUUCAACAACGGAUCUCUUGGCUCUG